CAUAAGACUCAGGGCGACUUUUCAUGGACUUAGAGAUCACUCUGCAUAGACUUCCUAAAGAAGUCAUAAAAAUUCCCAGCAAAGAAAAUCCAGCAGUAACAGGUAGACAGUCCUCUCACUUAAAUUCACUUUUGCUCACUCAGCAAUUAUUUACUGCCUUUCCGAGACAAAGUUUCUGUUUCGGUCCCUGCUCUCUAUUAUUUAGAAGAGUCUAAGGCAGAGGAAGAAGUGAACACAGCUUUGCUGCAUUAUGUCCAGAACGGGAAGUUCAAGAUCUGUAUUCGAUGCUCUCACGGGGGAAAAAUCUCAAGCCACAAAUGUCCAUUUGCUUAAAAUAAGGAUGGUUUUAUUUCCAUUCAUGCUGUAGAUGCAUACUCCUGAUCUCCACAAAGUAACCACUAAUUGUAUUUCAUCUGAAGUGGUCCUUUAAAAAGCUUAUUGGCAAUGAUACCCAAGCUCACAAUUGUGAAGCCAACCCCCACAACCACUUACUAAAUGUAUAUUAAAUUACUUCACUUCCUUUCGAAGGACCUUCACAUGUCAUUCUAACGGUGAGGCAGAUAGUUUCAACGUAUUGCUAUCUUUAUUUAUGGUUUAAAAAUAAAGAAAUCUAGAGAGAGCCUUCUAAUAUAAAAAUUUUGCUAAAGAAUUUAAUAUAAGGUACCUCUUUAUUCCAAAAGACAAACUGUCUUGUUUAGGAACA
rnacentral:lncRNA from 1 species